rnacentral:rRNA from 1 species
UUUUAAAACGCGUCAAAGCGUAACCUAAACCCCCCAAAAUACCAUUAAUUUUCAUGAACCCCUAAUUUAUAAUGAAUGACUCCAUAUUUAUAUGGAAGACACCAUGCUAGGAUUAGUAACAAGAAUUUAUAAUUCUCCAAAAUGCAAAUAUAAACCAACAUGGAUAGACCAUUGGUAGUUACCGAACCUAAAUUUACUGCAAUAACACCCACAAGAAAACUCUGCAGUACUUACUCGUUAACCUAACACCAGCGCAUUACAGGAAAGAUUAAAAAAAAGAGAAGGAAUUCGGCAAAUGACGGCCCCGCCUGUUUACCAAAAACAUCGCCUCUUGACUUAUAAUAAGAGGUCCAGCCUGCCCAGUGAAUUUUAAACGGCCGCGGUAUCCUAACCGCGCGAAGGUAGCAUAAUCACUUGUUCUUUAAAUGGGGACUCGUAUCAACGGCAUCACGAGGGUUUUACUGUCUCCUCUUUUUGAUCAGUGAAAUUGAUCUUCCCGUGAAGAAGCGGGGAUAUUUUUAUAAGACGAGAAGACCCCAUGGAGCUUUAAACCAAAUAACAACUUAACUACUUAUCCCACAAUAAAUUUAAGCCCUGUUAUAAGGUUUUUGGUUGGGGUGACCGCGGAGUAAAGCACAUCCUCCACGACGGAAAGAACAUAAUCUUUAUUUAAGAACCACACUUCUAGAAAUUAGUAUACUAACGUUUACUGACCCGACAAUCGAUCAACGGACCAAGUUACCCUGGGGAUAACAGCGCAAUCUACUUCAAGAGCUCAUAUCGACAAGUAGGCUUACGACCUCGAUGUUGGAUCAGGGUAUCCCGGUGGUGCAGCCGCUACCGAAGGUUCGUUUGUUCAACGAUUAAAACCCUACGUGAUCU